GAGCCCUAGCACUGGGAGUCUACCUUGACCCUCUGGAUCUUCUAUGUGGCCCUCAUUUUUUUUGUUUUUUUUUUAAAGAUACAAUCCCUUUAAUUCACUUUUAGAUAUAUGCACCAAAGACAUUUAUAAAAACUAAUGGGAAGCACUUGGGAUUAGUCCAGCCCAGGGUCUAUAGGAAUGGUGAAGAUGGGAAAUGAUGGGGCUACAACUGGCCCUACCUCAGGAGAGGUCAUCUGCUUCUCAGCAGAGGCCUAACCUCAAUUAAACUCAAGACUGACACAGCCAAUAAAUCAACUGAGACAUGAGAGUUGAGGAGAAGAAUACAGGAAGAGGUAUAGCUUGGGUAUAGAAAGGCCCCGGGCUCCUUUAAAAGACCAAGAGAAGUAUGAUCAUCUUCAUUAUUCUCUUUCCAUUCUCCUCUUGGUUCCCAGGAGACUGGAGAACCUUCCUAAGUAGUGGGGUAAAACCAAACAUCAAUGGAGCAUGAAAGAUAAGAGGAUCUCAGCAAGUGUGAGAAGACACAAAUAAUCUCCUUUCUGAAGGGCCCCUUGAUCAAUCCUUGGACUUCUCUUCUUCCAAGGCUCUAAUAUUUAUCCAUUUUCAAAAUCCUAGACCUGCUGCUGGAGUUUACUGCAUUGGAAACAACUGUGCUCAGUUGGUAGAAGAUGAAUCCAUAAUUGAAGAAAACUCUAUAUUUGGAUCAACAUAGUAUAUCAAUGGCUUUGGACAUUAACUUGAAAAUUAGCAAAAUCUUCACAAGUAAUGGUAAGAAGAAGACAAAAGUCAUUUCCUCUCCAGCCCUACCCUUUGGAGGGAAUGUGUGGUUUUGCGUCUUUGGCUUUGGGGAAGUGACUGAGCAGUGGCAGUAAAAUGGGUUGAGAGAGGGGCACUGGGGUGUGUGUGUGUGUGUGUGUGUAGGAAAAGAGCCCCAGGAGCAAAAGUAAGGUCACAGCUUUGAAUGAAAAGGAUUGGUUGUGGGUCAGAAAAGGGGGAGAAGCAAAGAGAAGAGUACAAAAAGCACAAGGAGAAAAGUAACAGUAGGAGAAUGAGGCCCAAAAGUGAUAGGGACCAGAAAACAGCCAGUGAGAGGAAGGGGAAUGGGGGUGGCAAGACAGUGGAAUCAGUGCAAAAAGAGCCUCAAUAAUCAAGGUCUUUCAUAAGAGAAUAGGUCCAGGAUUAGGGAAAUAUACCUAGAAAAUAUUUUUUUAAAAGGUCAAUGAAAACAACAGGACAGGAAACUGAAGUGGAAGCAAGAGAGAAGGGGGAAAGAAAGCCAAGGGUCUGAAAACUAAGGCACAUUUGUGAGGCUGAAUGACAAAGAGAAUCAAGAAGAAUUAGAAGCCAAGCAAGUUAGAGGUUACCUGGAAGGGAGAGAGGAGACAGGGAAGAAACAUAAAAAGGGAAAGAGAUUUUUCACCAGGAAUCUACCUCCUGGCACUCAUAGUGUCUUACCUCUACUCCUCCUGCCCCAUGUUGUACUAGCUAUAAACAAGAGUAUGAGAUGAUAUCUUUUGUUGGGUUUUUUUCUCCCUGCAUUAAGCUAAAAACUGUGUGCAAUUUAUUCUAACACGAAGGAAGAAUGAGUGGGAAAAUAUGAGAUAUUAGGGGUAGUAUAAAUAGUAUCCACUGAAAAAUGGGAACCAGAAGGCCUGGGAUCAAAUGAUGCUAACACGUGUUAACCUUGGGCAAGUCAUAGGAUUUUAGGUUUCUAAUCAAUGAAGGGGUGCAGCUAUGUCCCUUUCAGGUGGGGGAGUCUUUCAGAGGGUAUGGGGUAAGAUGGUUAAAAGAGAACCAAACUACCAAAAGGUAGGAAAGCAAAGGGGAGGAGAGAUGGGGGAGGGAAGGGAGUGAGAGGUAAAGAAAUGGACUGGAAGAAUGUUAGAACAGACCCAGAACGGGAAAGGGAAACAGUAGGGGAGAUAGAAAAGGAGGAAGUUCUGAGGGUGGGAGGAAGAGACUAAGGGGAAAAUGGUAAUGGAACUGAGGAUGGGAGUGAAGGUUGAGAAACAGAAACUAAAGACAAGCAAAAGAGAAAGAGGAGGAAUGUUAGACUAGAGAUAGCGAGGAAAGCUGAGAGCAUAGCAAUGUUGUGCCCUCAAACUCCUUGUCUCUAGAAGCUGAGUUGGGGGAUUCUUAGGAGAUACCUUUCCCCAUUCCUGCAGCCUGAGGAGCAAUAGGAAGCCAAAGUCUU